GAUGAACGCUGGCGGCGUGCUUAACACAUGCAAGUCGAACGGAAAGGCUCCUGCUUGCAGGGGUGCUCGAGUGGCGAACGGGUGAGUAACACGUGGGUGAUCUGCCCUGCACUUCGGGAUAAGCCUGGGAAACUGGGUCUAAUACCGGAUAGGACGAUGUGUUGGAUGCCAUGGUUGGAAGUUUUUCGGUGUGGGAUGAGCUCGCGGCCUAUCAGCUUGUUGGUGGGGUAAUGGCCUACCAAGGCGUCGACGGGUAGCCGGCCUGAGAGGGUGUACGGCCACAUUGGGACUGAGAUACGGCCCAGACUCCUACGGGAGGCAGCAGUGGGGAAUAUUGCACAAUGGGCGCAAGCCUGAUGCAGCGACGCCGCGUGGGGGAUGACGGCCUUCGGGUUGUAAACUCCUUUCGCUAGGGACGAAGCGCAAGUGACGGUACCUGGAGAAGAAGCACCGGCUAACUACGUG
rnacentral:rRNA from 1 species